rfam:Pteropus alecto contig18462, whole genome shotgun sequence.
CUGUCUCUUGCUUCAAAGCGUUUGGAUGGAACAG